AGUGAACGCUGGCGGUAGGCCUAACACAUGCAAGUCGAACGGCAGCACAGUAAGAGCUUGCUCUUACGGGUGGCGAGUGGCGGACGGGUGAGGAAUACAUCGGAAUCUACUUUUUCGUGGGGGAUAACGUAGGGAAACUUACGCUAAUACCGCAUACGACCUACGGGUGAAAGCAGGGGAUCUUCGGACCUUGCGCGAUUGAAUGAGCCGAUGUCGGAUUAGCUAGUUGGCGGGGUAAAGGCCCACCAAGGCGACGAUCCGUAGCUGGUCUGAGAGGAUGAUCAGCCACACUGGAACUGAGACACGGUCCAGACUCCUACGGGAGGCAGCAGUGGGGAAUAUUCGACAAUGGGCGCAAGCCUGAUCCAGCCAUACCGCGUGGGUGAAGAAGGCCUUCGGGUUGUAAAGCCCUUUUGUUGGGAAAGAAAAGCAGCAGGUUAAUACCCCGCUGUUCUGACGGUACCCAAAGAAUAGGCACCGGCUAACUUCGUG
rnacentral:rRNA from 1 species